rnacentral:miRNA from 1 species
AGAGGCAGGCGGAUCUCUGUGAGUUCGAGGCCAGCCUGGUCUACAGAGUGAGUUCCAGGGCAGCCAGGACUAUUACACAGAGAAACCCUGUCU